CCGAAAUACGACUGGUGGGCGGAACGGUGUGAAAAACACAGGUGUGUCAGGCACAAAAACACAGGUGAAGAGAGACAGGAAAGAGCAUUGAAGCUGUGGGGAAGGACAAAGCAUUGAAGCUGUGGCUUUCUAUAGGUAACCUCUCUGGAGAGAAGCAGAGAGAUGGAGACAUAUACCUCGAAUGGAGCCCCAAAGCUCCGGAGCAACUCUCGCAUGCUAAUUGAAGAAUUCAGGGAGACAACAGCAUGACAAAGCUGCCUCGGCCUGGCCCCCGGGUGUCUCACCAGGGGCAGUGAGGGGCUUGGCUCAUGGAUCAGUCCCCCGGUGAGCCAUGUCCGCAUCAUCAUCAGAGCACGAGUGGCUCCAGCACUCUGCAGCAGACCUCAUGCUGGCCUGCAAAACCGACUGGCCUGGCUAUAUCGCCUGAAGCUGGAUCACUGGGAGCCCUGUGAGAGGCACACUUCUGUACAAUGCAUAAGCCAAAUCACCUUGAUCAGAUCAGAGAUCAGAUAAAGCUUUAAUGAAAUGGGGCUGCAGUGAGUAAACAGUGGCAAUAGGGAUGGUUUCUACAUUUGUUGUAGGUGUUAAUGUGUCAGUGUAAACAGGCCGGGCACAAUGUCUCCCGGCCUCAUAAGCUGGGAUAGGUUGAUGCCCCCUGUGCCCCUGAGAAGCAUUAAGCUAAGUAUCAGAAAAAUGAGUAUUCUCUGACAAACAACUUGGAAAUAUUAAACAGAGAAAAACAGAGAUUUCAGCAAAAACAGUGUGUGCAAACCUGCAGCAUGUACAACAGCUAUCAUAGCAGCAAAACAUCCUAAAACAAAGUGUGAUUCAUGAUCUGUUAAUAAUUCAUUGUGAACUAUUACAAUUUUUAAGAUGUCUACAAACACUUUGAAGGGGCACAUCAGCUAGCGCUCACCACUAAUACACAGCGACAACAUCUUCGGUGUGUCUGAGCAAAAAACUAAAUCAUGUUUUUUUUUACGCUUAAACGAAUAAAAGAGUGUGAGGGCACAGGGCUAGUGUUGUGGAAAUAAAGACUUCACUGACUCUAUUGACUGUGAAAUCAACUGUGAACGACUAUGACAAAAGUUCAUUUUGCCACCCACAGAUCAGUCUGCCACCCCAUACUAGAAAAGCAUGUCACAUUUUGAGGAUGCACAAUUCCAUUAAAUUGCCAACUUUGCCUGUCUGCACCACUGAGCAUCCUUAACAUCUCUCAAUAUUUUGUUUGUUUUCCAGCUUGACCGGGCUCAUAUUUAGUAGUUCUUUCUGACAGGCAUCUUACAUACAGGCUGAUUAUCAUUGCAUGAAAUAACAAUAGAUAGUUGCCACUAUUUUAUCUUUAGCAAUCCAUAAAGGUCAUUAAAACCUGUUUCUAGAUUCUACAUGCAAACCAAGUUUUAUGCAAUAGAUUAAAAAAGCUGAAUGAAAAUGGAAAACUGUUAAAUUAUACGGCCUAAAAGGGACAAUUAGCUAAGCUUUUGCCUAAUGUACAAUGCAAAGACUAUUCUGUCAGAUCUAGUUUGUUUUAAGCUGCAGACUGAACGCAUGAAGCCAAGCAUAAACACUGCAACAAAUAAAAUAUCAUAAUAUUAUAAUAUGCUGUUUAUUUUACACAAUUUUCCAUCUGCCAUUUCAGAUUGGUUGCACACGUUUUGUCCAUUUAUUCCUGUCUGGAAAUUACAACAUGUUGUGGAAAUCUACAAUAAAGUAAAAAUGAA